GGGGUCGGAGCCGCCUCGCCUUCGGCUGUCUGGUCCGAGACGGCUUCCUCCGUGGCAGUACGAUCUCUCGACGAUGGGUCGGCCACCUCUCCCGCGGCUUGGCCCUCCGACUCUGGGGGGACGACGCUGCUGAGAUCGAGCUCAGGAUAUAGGCUCUGGAUCGCUUCCCGGGCGUCCUCAUACCCCACUCGGUACGAGAGGAAAUCGCUCUCCAAGAGUUCCUCCUGAUAUUCGUCGGAGCCAUGAAAGUCCUCCACGGCCCGACCUAUGGCCUCUUUCGCCGACUCUGUCUCCGCCCUCGCUAUGUCUGC
rnacentral:lncRNA from 1 species